AGAGUUUGAUCCUGGCUCAGGACGAACGCUGGCGGCGUGCCUAAAACAUGCAAGUCGAGCGGACGUGCAGCGGGAGCUUGCUUCUGCUGUACGUUAGCGGCAAACGGGUGAGUAACACGUGAGCAACCUGCCCUGGUGACCGGGAUAACCCCGCGAAAGCGAGGCUAAUACCGGAUAUGCCCAGAGGAUCGCAUGGUGCGAUGGGGAAAGGCUCCGGCGCACCGGGAUGGGCUCGCGGCCUAUCAGCUUGUUGGUGGGGUAACGGCCUACCAAGGCGAUGACGAGUAGUCGGCGUGAGAGCGCGACCGACCACAUCGGGACUGAGACACUGCCCGGACACCUACGGGUGGCUGCAGCAACGAAUAUUCCGCAAUGGGCGAAAGCCUGACGGAGCGACGCCGCGUGCAGGAUGAAGUCUUUCGGGAUGUAAACUGCUGUCAGGGAUAAGGAAAAUCUGACCGAACCCAAAGGAAGUCCCGGCUAACUCCGUGCCAGCAGCCGCGGUAACACGGAGGAGGCAAGCGUUGUUCGGAAUUACUGGGCUUAAAGAGCGUGUAGGCGGGACGGCCAGUACCUUGUGAAAUCCCUUGGCUCAACCGAGGAAUUGCAGGGUAAACUUCCGCUCUUGAGGCAAGCAGGGGCAUCUGGAACUCUAGGUGGAGCGGUGAAAUGCGUUGAUAUCUAGGGGAACGCCGGUGGCGAAAGCGGGAUGCUGGGCUUGUACUGACGCUGAGACGCGAAAGCGUAGGGAGCAAACGGGAUUAGAUACCCCGGUAGUCUACGCCGUAAACGAUGCGCACUAGCUAAAGGCUUCUGACGAGCUUUGAGCCGAAGCAAAGUGUUAAGUGCGCCGCCUGGGGAGUACGGCCGCAAGGCUAAACUCAAGGAAUUGACGGGGCUCACACAAGCGGUGGAGCAUGUGGUUUAUUCGAUGCACGCGAAGAACCUUACCAAGGCUGACAUGCUGAGUAGCGACCCGAAAGGAAGCGACCUGUUGAGUCAGAGCUGCACAGUGCUGCAUGCUGUCGUCAGCUCGUGCGUGAGGUGGUGGGUAAGUCCCCCACGAGCGCAACC
rnacentral:rRNA from 1 species